AAGAAAUAGCCGUGGGGUCUGUAUGAGGAGCUGUCCCUUGCAUCAUUUGCACAAUUUAUGUGUUCUUUCAGGUACAGAAAACAAUGUUUGAUACCUCGAUUUUAGGUAUCAUGAGAGCCUGGGCUAUAGCUCUUCUCCCUUCCUCCAGAUCCCUUCAUGCUAAAAACAGAUUUAAACAAAACCCCGCUAAGAGCUAAGACAGCGAGAAUGAGCCCCGGGGACUGUACAGAGAGAAGCCCAGAAGGAGAAACUAUGCCAAGCAAGGCCUGCUGGGAAGCCACCAGAAAAGCCUCCCCUGGAGAGGGACAACAUGACCCAGAUUGCUGGAAAAAAAAACAAAAACAAAAAAAAAAAACAAAAAAUAAAAAAACCCUACAGUCCAACCAUCCUGAGAUCUGUGUCCUCACAGAACGGAAGGAAGACAGCAGGGUACUUUGGCAAGGAGUUGGUAGAGCCGGCGACAUGGCAGGUGUGAGGGGGUGGAGGACAGAUCUCUGAGAGAACUUGGUCUUCUGAGAGCCUCUGGUGCAGAUGGAUGAGGAGGUGUGGCUGCUUCUUCCCCGCCCCCAUGCCCUCCCCCUCAGGAGCAGGAGAGGUAAACCAUGAGGAUUGAUGCAUGUUGCCACCAGACCAACUUAAAGGGCUGGUUAGGUGACAAGCAGUCUCUGACUCUACAGUCACUGGUCACUCAGGCUGGGUCAUGG
rnacentral:lncRNA from 1 species